CAGUACUGUGAAGGAAAGGUGAAAAGCACUUCGAAUAGAAGAGUGAAAUAGUCCCUGAAACCAUGCGCCUACAAGCGGUCGGAGCAGCUUAAGCUGUGACGGCGUGCCUUUUGCAUAAUGAACCUACGAGUUACUUUUUCCGGCAAGGUUAAGCAUCUUGAGAUGUGGAUCCGAAGCGAAAGCGAGUCUGAACAGGGCGGAUAGUCGGAAGGAGUAGACGCGAAACCAAGUGAUCUACCCUUGGGCAGGUUGAAGGUUAGGUAACACUAACUGGAGGACCGAACCGAUAAGC
rnacentral:rRNA from 1 species